AGUGAACGCUGGCGGUAGGCCUAACACAUGCAAGUCGAACGGCAGCACAGUAAGAGCUUGCUCUUACGGGUGGCGAGUGGCGGACGGGUGGGGAAUACAUCGGAAUCUCCUUUUUCGUGGGGGAUAACGUAGGGACACUUACGCUAAUACCGUAUACGACCUACGGGUGAAAGCAGGGGAUCUUCGGACCUUGCGCGAUUGUAUGAGCCGAUGUCGGAUUAGCUAGUUGGCGGGGUAAAGGCCCACCAAGGCGACGAUCCGUAGCUGGUCUGAGAGGAUGAUCAGCCACACUGGAACUGAGACACGGUCCAGACUCCUACGGGAGGCAGCAGUGGGGAAUAUUGGACAAUGGGCGCAAGCCUGAUCCAGCCAUACCGCGUGGGUGAAGAAGGCCUUCGGGUUGUAAAGCCCUUUUGUUGGGAAAGAAAAGCAGCAGGUUAAUACCCCGCUGUUCUGACGGUACCCAAAGAAUAAGCACCGGCUAACUUCGUG
rnacentral:rRNA from 1 species